rnacentral:lncRNA from 1 species
AAAGCCCGGCCCAAGCCCGCAAAUUGCCAUCCUUAGGCGCCAUGGCUGUAAGCGAUCACCGUACGCACUCGAUGUACCUGACCUACUCCUUAAGUUAGGAUACCUGAGGUACCUGACGUAUAACACAAACUUGGGUGCCCAAAGUACCUGACCUAAACCAUAAUCUUAGAUGCCCAGGGUAUCUUACCUAUACCGAGGUACCCAACAUACACCAAAUAAGCCCAGAGGUUAAAAAGGUACGAGGGGCACCCAUAUCAGAUGCCAAACGGUUAAGGAAAAGUCUCUAAAAGGUCAAGCAUGAGAAACAUCUCCACUGUACCAAGGACAGUGGUUCCUCAACAGCCUUACCAGACAACCUCUGCUGUGGUAUCUUGGACCACUCUUCAUCGUAUACCACAUGUUCAAAAGGAUAAAUUACACCAUAAGGUUAAGGUCUUUUUCAAUCUCAAGCCAUUAUUUCAGAGGCCUGACAAGCUCUUGCCAUUACAAAAAAACUUUGAGUAGCUGACUUGAGCAUCGAAGUGUAGACGCCGAGCUACCUCGGCUCCACACCUCUUUUUCAUUGUUUUGCAGGUUAAAAUCUUAUCUCAAAGGACCUCCUUUUCACAUUUUGAAUUCUUGUUGUCAUCACCAUCCUCCUACUCUCCUUAACUCCUUUCAAUCUUAAAAAUAUCGCACACAACGAUCUAGUAUGGUAUCCUGGUUACCCAAAAAAUAAAUCUAUUAUUCUGUUAAAUAGGUUUCUCUCUUUUCCUUUGCAUCCAAAAUUUGUUUAAAACAAUCACAAUUAUUUUUCUAACGACUAUAUCAUUUGAUUAUAACAACCUAAAAUUUAAUUACCCUAAACAAA